AACGUGGGGAAAAGAAAGAGAGAUCAGAUUGUUACUGUGUCUGUGUAGAAAGAAGUAGACAUAGGAGACUCCAUUUUGUUCUGUACUACGAAAAAUUCUUCUGCCUUGAGAUGCUGUUAAUCUGUAACCUUACUCCCAACCCCGUGCUCUCUGAAACAUGUGCUGUGUCAACUCAGGGUUAAAUGGAUUAAGGGCUGUGCAAGAUGUGCUUUGUUAAACAAAUGCUUGAAGGCAGCAUGCUCCUUAAGAGUCAUCACCACUCCCUAAUCUCAAGUACCCAGGGACACAAAACACUGCGGAAGGCCGCAGGGACCUCUGCCUAGGAAAGCCAGAGACCUUUGUUCACGUGUUUACCUGCUGACCUUCUCUCCACUAUUAUCCUAUGACCCUGCCACAUCCCCCUCUCC
rnacentral:lncRNA from 10 species